rnacentral:misc_RNA from 1 species
ACGAAAUUUAAAAAUAUUUUAAUAAUAAAAGAAUUAACAAACAAACAUGAAGAAUAAAUUCAUAAUGCCAACACAAUGAGGCAACGAUCAUAAUAAGCAAAGAGCUUAAAAUUAAGGAUUAGAUAAUGAGAAAUGAAAUCAUGACCAAUCAACUGAAGCAUAAAUAUUUAAAAGUUUUCUAAUUUAUAAAAAAAUUGAAAAAUUAUAAAAAUAAUAAUAAUGCAAAAUUUAAAUAAGGCAUACGAUUUUUCCAACCUUUUGAUCACGGGAGUCAACGAAUCGCGGAAACUUACAAACAUUUUUCUAAAAGAAUUAGGAUACUCAAAAAGAAGCGAUGCGUAUAAAUUUAAAAAAAAAUAGAUAGCUUAUAUGCAAAAACCAUUGAUUAAUAUUCUUGAUUUAAAUAAUUUUUAAUGAUUAUUUUUUAUUAUAAAAUUUUCUAUGAUUUCUUUUAAAGAUUUAAAUAGAUUAAUCAGAUGUUUUUAAUUUUUAUCCUUUGAUUCUCGUUGUUGCUAUUUAAAAAA